rnacentral:rRNA from 1 species
GACGUAGGGCGCGAGCGUUGUCCGGAUUUAUUGGGCGUAAAGAGCUCGUAGGCGGCUUGUCGCGUCGACUGUGAAAACCCGUGGCUCAACCAUGUGGUCUGCAGUCGAUACGGGCAGGCUAGAGUUCGGUAGGGGAAACUGGAAUUCCUGGUGUAGCGGUGGAAUGCGCAGAUAUCAGGAGGAACACCGGUGGCGAAGGCGGCAUCCUGGACCGGUAUUGACGCUGAGGCGCGAAAGCCAGGGGAGCAAACGGG